rnacentral:rRNA from 1 species
AUACGGGGGGUGCAAGCGUUAUUCGGAUUUAUUGGGCGUAAAGAGCGCGUAGGCGGCUUGGUAAGUCAGAUGUGAAAGCCCGGGGCUUAACCCCGGAAGUGCAUUUGAAACUAUCAGGCUUGAGUAUGGGAGAGGGAAGUGGAAUUCCUGGUGUAGAGGUGAAAUUCGUAGAUAUCAGGAGGAACACCGGUGGCGAAGGCGACUUCCUGGACCAAUACUGACGCUGAGGCGCGAAGGCGUGGGGAGCAAACAGGAUUAGAAACCCCGGUAGUCC